GAGACAGGAGACAGAAAUAUCAGUACUUUUAUUAGUGUUGAGCGAGCAUGCUCAGCCGAACACCAGUUCGUCUCGAGCAUCGCGAUGCUCGACACAUCACAGUGUUCAGCCGAAUACCUCGUGU